rnacentral:rRNA from 1 species
UACGUAGGGGGCUAGCGUUGUCCGGAUUUAUUGGGCGUAAAGCGCGCGUAGGCGGCGCGGUAUGUCGUGCGUGAAAUCUCCCGGCUUAACUGGGAGGGGCCGUGCGAAACUGCCGGGCUUGAGGUCGGAAGGGGAAAGUGGAAUUCCGGGUGUAGUGGUGGAAUACGUAGAUAUCCGGAGGAACACCAGCGGCGAAGGCGGCUUUCUGGACGACAUCAGACGCUGAGACGCGACAGCACGGGGAGCGAACGGG